rnacentral:lncRNA from 1 species
CUCUUCCGGCUUCUGACCUUGUGUGGCGUCUUUUCGAACUCCCCCGACAGUCCGAGCUUCCAUAAUACCAUUCGGACUUCUUCGAUAAUGAGCUCCUCCAUUCAUCUACCGGGCUGCUCCAAGCACUUUUCAAGCUUCACUAUCAGCUGAUUUUCUACAGUGAUCGACUAUUCUACGAAUCUCUUCCAGACUUCUUCCAGCCACAGAUGACUUUACUCCGAACUUCUUUCGAACUUUGUCAAUAUCUGAGCUUCUCCGACAAUAGGAUUUCUACAGUAACCAGACUCCAUCCAAGUUUCUACGACGGUCGACCGUCUUUCAGAUUUCAUCCGAGCUCCUACGAGAGCCAGAUCCCAGCCAAACUUCUAC